rnacentral:rRNA from 1 species
GAUGAACGCUGGCGGCGUGCUUAACACAUGCAAGUCGAACGAUGAAGCCCAGCUUGCUGGGUGGAUUAGUGGCGAACGGGUGAGUAACACGUGAGUAACCUGCCCUUAACUCUGGGAUAAGCCUGGGAAACUGGGUCUAAUACCGGAUAGGAGCGUCCACCGCAUGGUGGGUGUUGGAAAGAUUUAUCGGUUUUGGAUGGACUCGCGUCCUAUCAGCUUGUUGGUGAGGUAAUGGCUCACCAAGGCGACGACGGGUAGCCGGCCUGAGAGGGUGACCGGCCAAACUGGGACUGAGAAACGGCCCAGACUCCUACGGGAGGCAGCAGUGGGGAAUAUUGCACAAUGGGCGCAAGCCUGAUGCAGCGACGCCGCGUGAGGGAUGACGGCCUUCGGGUUGUAAACCUCCUUCAGUAGGGAAGAAGCGAAAGUGACGGUACCUGCAGAAGAAGCACCGGCUAACUACGUG